CCUACGGGAGGCAGCAGUGGGGAAUAUUGCACAAUGGGGGAAACCCUGAUGCAGCGACGCCGCGUGAGUGAUGAAGUAUUUCGGUAUGUAAAGCUCUAUCAGCAGGGAAGAAGAAAGACGGUACUUGACUAAGAAGCCCCGGCUAACUACGUGCCAGCAGCCGCGGCAAUCCGGAGGGGGCCAGCGUUAUCCGGACUUACUGGGCGUAAAGGGAGCGUAGACGGCUGUGCAAGUCUGAAGUGAAAGCCCAGGGCUCAACCCUGGGACUGCUUUGGCAACUGGGGAGCUAGCGUGCGGGAGAGGUAAGUGGAAUUCCUGGUGUAGCGGUGAAAUGCGUAGAUAUUAGGAGGAACAGCAGUGGCGAAGGCGGCUUACUGGACAGUAACUGACGUUGAGGCUCGAAAGCGUGGGGAGCAAACAGGAUUAGAUACCCGGGUAGUC
rnacentral:rRNA from 1 species